GUAGUUAGCCGUGGCUUCCUCCUUAGGUACCGUCAUUAUCGUCCCUAAAGACAGAGCUUUACAAUCCGAAGACCUUCAUCACUCACGCGGCGUUGCUGCAUCAGGGUUUCCCCCAUUGUGCAAUAUUCCCCACUGCUGCCUCCCGUAGGAGUCUGGACCGUGUCUCAGUUCCAGUGUGGCCGAUCAGCCUCUCAGCUCGGCUACCCAUCGUUGACUAGGUGGGCCGUUACCCCGCCUACUAUCUAAUGGGACGCGAGCCCCUCCCUCUGCGGAUUGCUCCUUUGACCUCAUCCCGAUGCCGGGUCGUGGUCUUAUGCGGUAUUAGCAUCUGUUUCCAAAUGUUAUCCCCCUCAAAGGGUCAGGUUGCUCACGCGUUACUCACCCGUUCGCCACUAGGUUAUCAACCGAAAUCAAUAACCCCGUUCGACUUGCAUGUGUUAGGCACGCCGCCAGCGUCGUCUCUAGCGCUACGAGUACAACUAACUACUACUACGUAGUACGGACGGUCGGUCGGACGGACGGACGACG
rnacentral:rRNA from 1 species